UUACGGUCAUAUCAUUUUGAAACACCGGUUUCCGUUCGAUCACCAUGGUUAAGUCACGUAGAACCUCGUCAGUACCUAGAUGGGUGACCACCUGUCAAUACCAGUUGCUGUG